rnacentral:rRNA from 1 species
UUGUCCUUAGUUACCAGCACGUUAUGGGUGGGCACUCGUAAGGGGACUGCCGGUGACAAACCGGAGGAAGGUGGGGAUGACGUCAAGUCAUCAUGGCCCUUACGGCCUGGGCUACACACGUGCUACAAUGGUCGGUACAAAGGGUUGCCAAGCCGCGAGGUGGAGCUAAUCCCAUAAAACCGAUCGUAGUCCGGAUCGCAGUCUGCAACUCGACUGCGUGAAGUCGGAAUCGCUAGUAAUCGUGAAUCAGAAUGUCACGGUGAAUACGUUCCCGGGCCUU